UGGGGAAUAUUGCACAAUGGGCGCAAGCCUGAUGCAGCCAUGCCGCGUGUAUGAAGAAGGCCUUCGGGUUGUAAAGUACUUUCAGCGGGGAGGAAGGUGUUGUGGUUAAUAACCACAGCAAUUGACGUUACCCGCAGAAGAAGCACCGGCUAACUCCGUGCCAGCAGCCGCGGUAAUACGGAGGGUGCAAGCGUUAAUCGGAAUUACUGGGCGUAAAGCGCACGCAGGCGGUCUGUCAAGUCGGAUGUGAAAUCCCCGGGCUCAACCUGGGAACUGCAUCCGAAACUGGCAGGCUUGAGUCUUGUAGAGGGGGGUAGAAUUCCAGGUGUAGCGGUGAAAUGCGUAGAGAUCUGGAGGAAUACCGGUGGCGAAGGCGGCCCCCUGGACAAAGACUGACGCUCAGGUGCGAAAGCGUGGUGAGCAAACA
rnacentral:rRNA from 1 species